UACGAAGGGGGCUAGCGUUGUCCGGAAUCAUUGGGCGUAAAGCGCGCGUAGGUGGCUUCGUAAGUCCGUUGUGAAAGUCAAAGGCUCAACCUUUGAAAGCCGAUGGAUACUGUGAAGCUAGAGUACGGAAGAGGCGAGUGGAAUUCCUGGUGUAGCGGUGAAAUGCGCAAAUAUCAGGAGGAACACCGGUGGCGAAGGCGGGUCUCUGGGCCGAUACUGACGCUGAGGAGCGAAAGCGUGGGGAGCGAACAGG
rnacentral:rRNA from 1 species